CAUAGGUUAAUGAGGCGAACCGGGGGAACUGAAACAUCUAAGUACCCCGAGGAAAAGAAAUCAACCGAGAUUCCCCCAGUAGCGGCGAGCGAACGGGGAGGAGCCCAGAGCCUGAAUCAGUGUGUGUGUUAGUGGAAGCGUCUGGAAAGGCGCGCGAUACAGGGUGACAGCCCCGUACACAAAAAUGCACAUGCUGUGAGCUCGAUGAGUAGGGCGGGACACGUGGUAUCCUGUCUGAAUAUGGGGGGACCAUCCUCCAAGGCUAAAUACUCCUGACUGACCGAUAGUGAACCAGUACCGUGAGGGAAAGGCGAAAAGAACCCCGGCGAGGGGAGUGAAAAAGAACCUGAAACCGUGUACGUACAAGCAGUGGGAGCCUCUUAAUGGGGUGACUGCGUACCUUUUGUAUAAUGGGUCAGCGACUUAUAUUCUGUAGCAAGGUUAACCGAAUAGGGGAGCCGAAGGGAAACCGAGUCUUAACUGGGCGUUAAGUUGCAGGGUAUAGACCCGAAACCCGGUGAUCUAGCCAUGGGCAGGUUGAAGGUUGGGUAACACUAACUGGAGGACCGAACCGACUAAUGUUGAAAAAUUAGCGGAUGACUUGUGGCUGGGGGUGAAAGGCCAAUCAAACCGGGAGAUAGCUGGUUCUCCCCGAAAGCUAUUUAGGUAGCGCCUCGUGAAUUCAUCUCCGGGGGUAGAGCACUGUUUCGGCAAGGGGGUCAUCCCGACUUACCAACCCGAUGCAAACUGCGAAUACCGGAGAAUGUUAUCACGGGAGACACACGGCGGGUGCUAACGUCCGUCGUGAAGAGGGAAACAACCCAGACCGCCAGCUAAGGUCCCAAAGUCAUGGUUAAGUGGGAAACGAUGUGGGAAGGCCCAGACAGCCAGGAUGUUGGCUUAGAAGCAGCCAUCAUUUAAAGAAAGCGUAAUAGCUCACUGGUCGAGUCGGCCUGCGCGGAAGAUGUAACGGGGCUAAACCAUGCACCGAAGCUGCGGCAGCGACACUAUGUGUUGUUGGGUAGGGGA
rnacentral:rRNA from 1 species